UACGUAGGGCGCAAGCGUUGUCCGGAAUUAUUGGGCGUAAAGAGCUCGUAGGUGGCGUGUCGCGUCUGCCGUGAAAGCCCAUGGCUUAACUGUGGGUCUGCGGUGGAUACGGGCAGGCUGGAGGCUGGUAGGGGCAAGCGGAAUUCCUGGUGUAGCGGUGAAAUGCGCAGAUAUCAGGAGGAACACCGGUGGCGAAGGCGGUUCUCUGGGCCUUACCUGACGCUGAGGAGCGAAAGCAUGGGGAGCAAACAGG
rnacentral:rRNA from 1 species